CUGCAUGUUAAAAGAAAAUACAGUUCUGCUCCUCAUCCCCGUGAGAAGCAUGAAUACCUGUAUAACAUGCUACAGAAACAAGGAGUUUUCAGGGCUGCCAGUCUUAAAGUAAAGACUGAGUGGUAGUAUAGGUCUCCUACAUCU